CAGAGGGUGCAAGCGUUGCUCGGAAUCAUUGGGCGUAAAGGGCAAGUAGGUGGUCUCAUUUGUCUUGUGUGAAAUCCUUGGGCUUAACUCAAGAAGUGCGCAAGAAACGGUGAGACUCGAGUUCUGGAGAGGGUCGUGGAAUUCCCGGUGUAGCGGUGAAAUGCGUAGAGAUCGGGAGGAACACCAGAGGCGAAGGCGGCGACCUGGACAGAUACUGACACUCAACUGCGAAAGCGUGGGGAGCAAACAGGAUUAGAUACCCUGGUAGUCCACGCUGUAAACGAUGGGUACUAGGUUUGGUGGGUCUUGACCCCCGCCGAACCGGAGCUAACGCAAUAAGUACCCCGCCUGGGAAGUACGGUCGCAAGACU
rnacentral:rRNA from 1 species